UCUAAGAACAGAGGAAAAAAAAUUAAAAAAAAAAGGGCUUUCCUUUUCUCUGCUAGGGUUCCAAGCCUAGCCUUGGAAUCCCGCCGUCGUCCGUCGCAUCUCCGCUGCAGCGCCACCGAUGACGGUGGCCGGAAUCAUUCGAAAAAAAAGGCUUUUUAGCCCGUGCCCACCAAAACAGAAAAAGAAAAGAAAGCCUUCCUCGUCCCUUCUUCGAAACUCAGCUCUGAUGACAGAGAAAAGGACUCCGGCGAUGGGACUGUGACGCCCAGGUAACAGUACGCGUGAAGGAGGCUACGGUGAUAGUAGCGGCAGGCUAGAAUGGCAAAGGCCUAGGGGCAGGAGCGGCGGCUAGUUAGGGUUUUUUUUGCCUGAAAUUUUUUUAGGUUUUGUGGGCUAAUGGGGCUUAGUUUAGUUUUGGGCUUUUGGAUUGGGUCUGUUUUUGUUAAUGGACUGUUUAACUAUUUGGACAUUUUUAUUUAGGUUUGGUUCUUUAGUGGGCCGGGCAAAAAUUGGCUGUCACAAUAUAUUCAGCCUUUGGAAGAAAGGAUGUGUAUGACCAAUGUCCAAACUCGUGAUUCGAUCCUCAUAAUCGAUAUGUCGAAUCCAGACGAUCCCGAAGUGACGAAAUCGAUCUGUGAAGCGGCUUCAAAAUGGGGUUUCUUUCAGAUUGUUAAUUAUGACAUACCUGUUGAAGUUUUGGAGAAUGUUAAAGAUGCUACUUACAAGUUCUUUGGGCUACCAGCUGAGGUUAAGAAUAAGUAAUCUAAGGAACAUUCGUCGUCGAACAACAUGAGGUUUGGCACGAGUUUUACCCCUCAAGCCGAGAAGGCUCUUGAAUGGAAAGAUUACCUUAGCUUGUUUUA